rnacentral:tRNA from 1 species
GGCGCGAUGGCCGAGUAGCUAGGCAGAGGUCUGCAAAACCUUGUACACCGGUGCGAUUCCGGUUCGCGCCUCCA